rnacentral:rRNA from 1 species
UACGUAGGGUGCGAGCGUUAAUCGGAAUUACUGGGCGUAAAGCGUGCGCAGGCGGUUUUGUAAGCCAGAUGUGAAAGCCCCGGGCUUAACCUGGGAAUGGCAUUUGGGACUGCAAGGCUGGAGUGUGGCAGAGGAGACUGGAAUUCCUGGUGUAGCAGUGAAAUGCGUAGAGAUGUGGAGGAACACCAGUGGCGAAGGCGACUCUUUGGCCUGUAACUGACGCUGAGGCGCGAAAGCGUGGGGAGCAAACAGG